UGUUAUGAUCUUUAUUAGAUUAGUUAUUUACCUUUUAAGGCAAUGCAUUGGAUGCUCAAGUGAGCAAUAUGACUCAAUAACUAUUUCUUUGCUCGUAUCGUGGUGUUGUUCUAAUUCUUCGUAGCAUGCUGAUUUUUUUAUUUCUUUGCAUUUGUUGGCAGAUUGUUGUUGGGAGCCAUUAGGCAAAGAAGAGUGCAAUCAAUGGUACAACGAGGUAAAGUCAUGCUCAGGACAUCUCUAGAGUGCCAAGAUGCUUCUCUGGCACGUUAUGGAUUUGGGAAGGCAUGACCAAUCGUUUUGUGUAAGGCUAAGUCACUUCCUCUAGCAAUCAGGUAAGUAUACUGAUAAAAGGCUUAGAUUUUGUAUGAGCAACAUCAACCUUGAAUUUAGCAAAGAGAGAGAAACAAGAUAAUGAGGUGGCAGCUGCACAACAAAGAUAGCAGCACCAAGGUGGCAGCAAUAGACCCUGGUUGGUAACGGUAGUGUAUAAAGGCGGCAACAGCAACAUCUAAACUAGAGGUGAGAGGAUGGUGCAAAAGAUUUGAGGUCUGGGGUUUUCAUUAAUUCACAAAUGUAUGCUUUUUGGGUGGAAACAAUUGAUUGGUUUUGUUGGGUUUUCUUGUGAAGACAAGUAGAUAAUCCAUUUCAGGGUUUUAGUUUAGGAUAGCUUAAAAUGUUGUUAAAUAGGUUCUUGCAUUUGAUGUAACUUAGAUGGAUAUUAUGAGAGUUUAAGAUUAAUCUUAAUUUUUGGCUAUGUUCUUCCAUUUGUAUUAAUAUUACAUAUCACGUUACGUAGAGUUCUUACAAGUUAUCUCGAUAUUUGUUCACUUUAGAGACUUGUAAGUUAUGAAGCCAUUAAAAAGGAGCAAAAAGAAAAGGGGGAGAGAAGAGGGUUGGGAAUCAAAGAAAAGAAAAAGAAUACUUUUUAGAGUGUAAUUGAGUAAGGAGAUGAUAGUGCUUUUUAAAAACUUCCUAAAAUGGUUAAAAUCAUAAAAGACGAGUGAAAGACCGAUAAAGCUAAAGGGAAAGGAAAAAAAUAGACAUAGCAAGAUAGGGGGAGUAGGUUUCAACAACUAGAUUUGGACAAGCUUCUUUUAAUAAUCAAUAAAUUAUUAAUUAAUCUAUGAGAUUUUGUGACAAUUGAGGCAUUCAACUGAUUAGAAUGAACUUUAGAAUAAAUUAUUCAACAUUAUGAUAAAACUGUGUUAGAUUCAUGGGUAAAUGCUUUUUAUGUUUGUACAACCAUAGUUAUAGAUAACUUUGGAAAGAUAGAGGGUAAGAGGUAGAAAGGGGGAGAAGGAGUGGGGGAGGUUCGAGAGAGGAGAGAAAGAGAUACAGAGAGUAAGAAAUAAGAGGUGAGGGAGAGAAAAAAGAGGGGGGAUGGGAAAGGAAUAGAGGGGCCGAGAAAGAAAAGGGCUAGGAGAGAGAGAAAAAAAAGUCGAGAGAGGAAAAUAGGGCAGGAGAGGGAAAAGAAGAUAUAUAGAUAAAUAGAUAGAGAAGGCAAUGCCGAGAGAAAAGAGAGACGAAGGGGGUGUUGAGAGACGAAGGUGUUAGGAAAGAGAGGGAAGGUAAGGCUGAGAGAGAGAGAGAGAGGUGGGGAGGGGGGGGGGAAGGGGCUGAGAGAGAAAGGUGCUAUGAAAGAGAGAGAUUGCGGGCUAAAAGAGAAAGAGAGAAAAGCCAAGCCAUGAGCUAAGAGUAAAGGGCAUGUCAGGGGGUAGACAGAGAAGGGCUGGGAUAGAGAAGCCAAGAGAUGGGAAAGAGGAAACAUAUAUAAUUACCGUGUAACGGAAACACCACAAUUUUUCCUUUUACAAAAAAAAAAAAAAAAAAAAA